GCCAGCCAGGAAGGAGGAGGCAGCCGGAGUGUUCUCUGCAGCAGAAGACCCCUUGCUGCCCUGCUUAACCCAGACCAGCAUUUGCCAGGAGAGAAGAAACGAUGCUCUAGUUCCACACAAACUAACCCAGCUCAAGAGAAAAGGAGAAGAAUUCUGUUUCGCAGACAUCCCUUUGAGAAGCAAAUUGCCACAGAGGGACAGGAUUUUAGACAGAGUCACUGAAUCUGCCCGUAGAACUGGCUGGAUGCAAAAGAGAAGCAUGAGGCAUCUUGAAAAUACUGAGACAGCAGAGCUCCCCUCAGUGAAAAUGACACUGAAUGCUGAAGUGGUUAUCUGAAGCAUAAUAAUCUCCUUUUCUGCAGCUUCUCCUGGAGCGAAGCAGCUGCACCUCUCCUAUUUAGAGCUGAGGCAAAAGGAUCUCAUCAGCCCUGAGAGAAAUCACUGAUGAUGCAGAAGUCCCUGUCAUUGCAUGGCUGAGGGGACAAUUGCAGAAAUCAAAUCUUCUGUCCACUUGUAUGUGUAUGUUUGGGAUCAGCUGCAAGUUGAACGGGUCUUUUGUAUCGAUCGCAGUGAGGGAAAUAUUGACUUCACUUAUCUUACAAGACUUAUCUGAGAAAGGAAAAUAAAACGGGAUCACAAAUGUAAAGUGGUUUUGUUUCUACAUACCAUAAGGGAUAAGGGAUCGCCUCCAGCUGGCUCACAAGAAACCAAGUUCGAAAACCACUGGUUUAAAUCAUAAGCUUAUGAAGCAAGCGUGUUCUAUCCUAAACCCUCGAAACUACUACUGAGAGACAACAAGCAAUAAGAUGCAGAUAUUAAACUUUGCCACUAAUAUGACUUUGGUAUCACUAAUAUGCCCUUGACCAAAUAAAUCAAUGUUAUGGCAAGGAUAUUGGCUGUUUCUUCCUGUG